rfam:Hordeum vulgare subsp. vulgare, WGS project CAJW01000000 data, contig: morex_contig_44282
UUUUUACUUCCUCCGUCUCAAAAUUCUUGUCUUUGAUUUAUCUAGAUAUAAAUAUAUCUAAUCAUGUAUUAGUAUUUAGAUACAUCAAUUUCUAGACAAACAUAAUACAAGAAUUGAGACGAAGAAAGUAUUAU